AAAAAAAUUUAGGAGUCAAGAAGCCAUUGAGCUAUUUUAGAGCUGUAGAGCUGGUCAAGCUGAGAUGCUUUAUUAUUUUUCCUUGUGGAUUUUUGGAUGGGUAACAGAGUCUACUUAAUAGAUAUUACUUCUUGUGCAAAUAAAGUAUGAGUCUUCCUAUUCUUUUAUGAAAUAUCCAGGGGCACAUCUGUUUGUGAUCUCUAGUGCUGUCAAGUUCAUUUGGAACUGUCAACUGUGUUUCCAGGAAUUUUAGGAAAUGAGGAACAAAGUCUUGUUAUUAUAGGAAGCUGAUCUGGGGAUGCAUUUUUUAAAAAUGAUGAAGAAAAAGCCCUUCAUGCGCAGAUUCUAAAUUAUUUCAAAUUUCUGUCAGGUAUAUAUUCACUGGGAUAUUUUUUUUUCCAUUUCAGUGGGUAAGACGAAGAAGGAAAAAAAAAAAUGUGGUUCAGCCUUUGAGAAUAAUCCUCAAUAUAGGAUAAGAUAGGAGACAAAAGGAUAUUGAGGGUUCUCUUCCCUUUUGAGGAUUUCUGGAAGUAAAUUUUAACAUUGCUGUUGGCACCAAGAGUCCCAUCACUGCUUCUCAUAAGUUCUCCUGCAGCACUGCUAUUGAUGCUGGUCUUAUAACAAGAAUAGCAUGGGACCAGAUCGCUCAUAGCCCUUAAACUGAAUGGCAAACAACAGCACAGAGAAGCAGAGUUUCAGCUAUAGAUAGAAAGGUUACUGUUUGUUCUUGUGUGUAUGUUAAUUUAUUCUCUGCAGAAGUGGAAAAAUGAGUUUAAUCCAAUUUUGGCUGACCAAGAGAAAGACAGGUAGUUUCUGUUGUUUUUUUCUUAUAAGACUCUUAACAGACUCUUUCCAACACAAGGGGUGGGGUAGGAAAAAAACAAGAUAAACAGCCAACUUCCAGGUAAUUAAUACUCAUUACUCCUUCAUCAAAGAACAAAUGAGGUGUAGUGUUUUCCAUGUUCAUUUCUGGAGAUCCAAAUCUUGGGGUUUAUUUGAUACAAUAUGCAAUGCUGUGAAGAAAACCCAGGCAUCUUGCCCACUAGCCUUGUGCACUAGAUGUCAGAUUGCUGGAGAGAAUCAUUCCAAGCCUAGGUUUCACCACUGCUUUUUGCAUCACUGGCAGCAUAACCCUCUUGCAGAUUGAAUGAUCCCAUCUACAGCUCCUUUCUGCUUCUGAGGACCCAUACAGGACUGCAACAUCAACAUCUAGAGCAGCACAGUGAGGAUCACGGCUUGGAAUACAGCAACAGCAAAAGGAUACAGAAAAGAGAAGAAACGGGAAAGCAAAUUAUCUGGGCAGGGCUCAUUGCCUGCAGCUCCUGUCAUCUGCCCCACCAGCAGCAGAAGUGUGGUGCCCACAUAUAAACACUGAGGAGACCUCUCCAUUUGAGUACCUCCACACUGUACUUUCCAGGACAAUAGGUUUGCCUUCACUGUCAGUUCAGUGAGGUAAAGCUUUGGCUAAAUUUUUACAAGACUGACAUAAUUCAUCCAGCAAUAGGAAAAGUCUGCAUUUUUUACCUACUUGGUUUCAGAAGAAGGCUAAGCAGUUUCAGACCUGGAUGAAAGAUGUCUUGUCUGAGUCAGCAGUGCUCUUCUCCAGCAUUUUGCAAGGUGUUUUCUCCUGCUGGCAAAAUCAGAAAUAAUAACAACUUAUCAAGGUUUUUAAAGGGACAACACUUUGGUCUCUAAUGGAAAUUUACUUCCAUUCCACCUUGUUAAGAGUUUGUUUACAUGGAAAUAAAUAGAAGGCAUUACUUUCGGAGCAAUCUAUAUGCGACCCAAGAAAAUUCCUCAUCACUCAGUGUGACUCAGACAAGCCAAAAAGUUGGACAUCCAUGAUUACGAUGAUUGCUAACCUUAACAAGAUUGGGAAUAAGAGUGAGGACCUCAAUCCUCGGUCCCAGUUUCCUCGGGGGAAUCAAUCCUUCCAUUAAAUAUCCAAGGAAGUUGCCGGUGGAUAUCUAUCCACAGUGAAUCUGGUGGCCAGAGUAGCUGGGUACAUUGAAUCCUCUACUUCAAAAGUCGAUGAGGUGUUGUUACUGUGAAUGUAAAACACAUGGGAGACGGAAGGGAGAAAAAGAAGGUGUGUGUC
ensembl:lncRNA